CCCAUUUGCUGAAGUCUUUGC
rnacentral:siRNA from 1 species